ACCUAAUGAUGUGGGCAUUUAUGGAGAAGGUCCCUGAAAUGUUCCUAGGUCUCAAAGAAAGUUCCCCAUCCGUUUGUGUGAAACUUGUGAUUACCCUUCACAGUU